CUGUAGCUCAGCUGGAUAGAGCAACGGCCUUCUAAGCCGUAGGUCGUGGGUUCGAAUCCCCCCAG
rnacentral:tRNA from 4 species